rnacentral:rRNA from 1 species
GACGAACGCUGGCGGCGUGCCUAACACAUGCAAGUCGAACGGAAAGGCCCUGCCUUUGUGGGGUGCUCGAGUGGCGAACGGGUGAGUAACACGUGAGUAACCUGCCCUUGACUUUGGGAUAACUUCAGGAAACUGGGGCUAAUACCGGAUAGGAGCUCCUGCUGCAUGGUGGGGGUUGGAAAGUUUCGGCGGUUGGGGAUGGACUCGCGGCUUAUCAGCUUGUUGGUGGGGUAGUGGUUUACCAAGGCUUUGACGGGUAGCCGGCCUGAGAGGGUGACCGGCCACAUUGGGACUGAGAUACGGCCCAGACUCCUACGGGAGGCAGCGGUGGGGAAUAUUGCACAGUGGGCGGAAGCCUGAUGCGGCAACGCCGCGUGCGGGAUGACGGCCUUCGGGUUGUGAACCGCUUUCGCCUGUGACGAAGCGUGAGUGACGGUAAUGGGUAAAGAAGCACCGGCUAACUACGUG